rnacentral:rRNA from 1 species
UGGGGAAUCUUGGACAAUGGGCGCAAGCCUGAUCCAGCCAUGCCGCGUGGAUGAUGAAGGCCUUAGGGUUGUAAAAUCCUUUCGCCGAGGACGAUAAUGACGGUACUCGGAGAAGAAGCUCCGGCUAACUUCGUGCCAGCAGCCGCGGUAAUACGAAGGGGGCUAGCGUUGUUCGGAUUUACUGGGCGUAAAGCGCGUGUAGGCGGGUCGUUAAGUUGGGGGUGAAAUCCCGAGGCUCAACCUCGGAACUGCCUUCAAAACUGGCGACCUGGACUCAAGCAGAGGCAAGUGGAAUUGCGAGUGUAGAGGUGAAAUUCGUAGAUAUUCGCAGGAACACCAGUGGCGAAGGCGACUUGCUGGGCUUGUAGUGACGCUGAGACGCGAAAGCGUGGGGAGCAAACAGGAUUAGAUACCCGAGUAGUCCCUGAGCGGGCUGGCAAGGCGCAU